AUCACCUAGCAAUCUUGUUAAAAUGCAGAUUCUGACUCAGGGGUCUGGGGUGAGGCCUGAGGUUCUGCAUUUCUUGCAAGCUCCCACGUGGUGCCCA
rnacentral:pre_miRNA from 1 species